CGGGGUGCCGCAGACUCUGUCCGGGAAACGGGAGAAGAGGGGUCAGGACUGAGGAUCAGCACGGCAAGAGGUGGAAAGCGCUUCGAGGGUCUUUGCGUGUGAACUUAGGGGAAUCUAGAUUUCCAAGGACUUAGGGUUCCAGAACUCCAGUGGCUUCCAGGAUGACAUGGAUAUGAGGCCCUGCGCUGCUCUGGGUGGGAUCGUCAGACCCACAGUCUUCUCAGCUGGUCCCACUGACCUUUGCACUGCAGGCCCUGGCGGAAUAGACCCUUGAGCAGCUUCUUGCAGGCCUGGCAGACGGUGGGCCGUGUGUAGCUGUGUAUAAGGAAGGUGUGUGGCACCUUAACCUUGGACAUCAGCAUCUUGUCCAGCUCAAUGGGACGGCCUGUGUAGAAGGAAGAGGAAGAGGAGGAGGACGACGACGAGGGGGGUCUGCGAGGAAGGAGGUCGGUGGUGCUCCGGCUCUACCCAACAGCGAGGGUGGAAGGAACGCAUGAGUGUAUUAGCACCUGCCUGGCCCCAUCAGCCCCCAGCCUCCAAGCCUCCCCACUCUCCGGCCCCUCACCAGCUCCUCAGCGGUGCACGGUAGGGACUCGGAGCUGCCUAGGCGCACAGAAUGGCCACUGGCCAGGGACGUGGAUGACAGGCGGCGCUUGCGAGCCCCGCUGCAGUUGUUCGGGAUGCUGAAGGCACAGCGUUUGUGGUAAUUCAGCCCGCAGCCUGUAGGGGGCGCAAGACCAUCAGAGCCAAAACCUGCAUUCACUACUAGGCAGGCCCCCCAUCUCAAGAAAUCACCCUGUGCCUCAAGCACACAGGUGUACUGUCCUGUCUCCCACAGCAAAAGUCCCCAAGACUCAGUGCUGCAGCUGGAGAUAUUUUGUGUACUGGAUUCAAGUCCACAUCCUGUUGAUUCUAGCCUGGUUGAUGAACGCCCCUGAUGUUCACUAGACCCAAAGCUGUGAAGAGCUAUAAUGAUUGCCAGCCUGUAGAAUUCAGCCUGUGAUCUCAGACAGGCUGCCCUGAGGAUUGUGGCCUGGCCAGCCUCGAAGUCCUACAGGCCAGUUCUUCCAGAUAAAUAGUUGCUAUUUC